AUUGAACGCUGGCGGCAGGCCUAACACAUGCAAGUCGAGCGAGUGGCGGACGGGUGAGUAAUGUCUGGGGAUCUGCCUGAUGGAGGGGGAUAACUACUGGAAACGGUAGCUAAUACCGCAUACUAUCGGAUGAACCCAGAUGGGAUUAGCUUGUUGGUGGGGUAAAGGCUCACCAAGGCGACGAUCCCUAGCUGGUCUGAGAGGAUGACCAGCCACACUGGGACUGAGACACGGUCCAGACUCCUACGGGAGGCAGCAGUGGGGAAUAUUGCACAAUGGGCGCAAGCCUGAUGCAGCCAUGCCGCGUGUAUGAAGAAGGCCUUCGGGUUGUAAAGUACUUUCAGCGGGGAGGCGUUACCCGCAGAAGAAGCACCGGCUAACUCCGUGCCAGCAGCCGCGGUAAUUC
rnacentral:rRNA from 1 species